GACGAACGCUGGCGGCGUGCCUAAUACAUGCAAGUCGAACGCAGUGGGGACGGGUGAGUAACACGUGGGUAACCUCCCAUCAGAGGGGAUAACACUUGGCAACAGGUGCUAAACCGAUACUGAUGGAUGGACCCGCGGUGCAUUAGCUAGUUGGGGGGGUAACGGCGCACCAAGGCCACGAUGCAUAGCGGACCUGGGAGGUGGAUCUGCAACCUUGGGACGGAGACACGGCCCAGACUCCUACGGGAGGCGGCAGUAGGGAAUCUUCGGCAAUGGGCGAAAGUCUGACCGAGCAACGCCGCGUGAGUGAAGAAGGUUUUCGGAUCGUAAAACUCUGUUGUGAGAGAAGCGGUAUCUAACCAGAAAGCCACGGCUAACUACGUGCCAGUAGCCGCGGUAAUUC
rnacentral:rRNA from 1 species